rnacentral:rRNA from 1 species
AACGCUAGCUACAGGCUUAACACAUGCAAGUCGAGGGGCAGCAUGAUUGAAGCUUGCUUCAAUUGAUGGCGACCGGCGCACGGGUGAGUAACACGUAUCCAACCUUCCGUACACUCAGGGAUAGCCUUUCGAAGGAAAGAUUAAUACCUGAUGGUAUCUUAAGCACACAUGUAAUUAAGAUUAAAGAUUUAUCGGUGUACGAUGGGGAUGCGUUCCAUUAGGUAGUAGGCGGGGUAACGGCCCACCUAGCCUACGAUGGAUAGGGGUUCUGAGAGGAAGGUCCCCCACAUUGGAACUGAGACACGGUCCAAACUCCUACGGGAGGCAGCAGUGAGGAAUAUUGGUCAAUGGACGAGAGUCUGAACCAGCCAAGUAGCGUGAAGGAUGAAGGUCCUACGGAUUGUAAACUUCUUUUAUAAGGGAAUAAAACCUCCCACGUGUGGGAGCUUGUAUGUACCUUAUGAAUAAGCAUCGGCUAACUCCGUGCCAGCAGCCGCGGUAAUACGGAGGAUGCGAGCGUUAUCCGGAUUUAUUGGGUUUAAAGGGAGCGCAGACGGGUUGUUAAGUCAGCUGUGAAAGUUUGGGGCUCAACCUUAAAAUUGCAGUUGAUACUGGCGUCCUUGAGUGCGGUUGAGGUGUGCGGAAUUCGUGGUGUAGCGGUGAAAUGCUUAGAUAUCACGAAGAACUCCGAUUG